rnacentral:rRNA from 1 species
AUGUCGGUUCUGAUCGUUACGAGCGUGGGCGACAUCGAGGUGGAUCUACACACAGACGAGUUGCCCAUCACCACUAAGAACUUCCUCAAGCUCUGCAAGAUCAAGUACUACAACGGCUGCCUCUUCCACAAGGUGGAGAGGGAUUUCCUGGCACACACAGGGGACCCAACCGGAAUCGGCACUGGAGGUGAUUCUGUGUACAAGAUCCUUCAUGGCGAUCAAGAUCGUUUUUUCGAUGACGAGUUCCGUCCGGACCUGAGGCAUUCAAAGGCUGGCACCGUCGCCAUGGCAGGUGGCUCGCAGUUCUACUUCACCUUGCGGGACGGCGUGGACGGUCUUGAUGGUAAACACACUGUACCAUUCAUGGACAUAAGGAUUAAACAUACAUAUGUCUUGGACGAUCCAUUCGAUGAUCCUCCUCAGCUUGCAGAACUCAUCCCUGGGGAUUCUCCCAUAGGAAAGCCACGUGCCGAGAUUGCAGAAGAUCGCUUAGACGUUCCUUCGGAUGAUGCACUUGCUAACAUUCCAGGAGUCGAACAGGCAGACAAUGUCUUGUAUAUUUCUAAACUUAACCCAAUUACAGAGGACGAGGAUCUGCGUACAAUCUUUUCUCGUUUCGGAACCAUGACAUCGGCUGAAAUAAUUCGUGACUGCAAGACCGGAGAUAGCUUAUGCUAUGCUUUCAUUGAAUUCGAGGCAAAGGAGGAUUGUGAGCGUGCAUAUUUUAAGAUGGAAGAUAGCCUGAUUCAUGACAGGAGGAUCCAGGUUGAUUUUGCACAAAAUGUUUCAAAACUGUGGGGUCGGUUCAGGCAAAGCACACGAAAUGCCGAUAAAGAUGGGCGCCUCAAGUGUGGUGCCCCGGAUCACCUGGCCCGAGAUUGUGAUCAAGGCGUUGAGGAGGAAAACAAAGGCACCAAUUAUGUUUUGGAAGAUCAAAACACUCACAGAGGCGGGAACAACCGCAGAAGUUAUGAUUUAGUGUUCGACGAUGACGGUACGUACUAA